AAAAUCCUGCACUCAAGUGAUCCACCUCCCUCAGCCUCCCAGUGCUGGGAUUAUAGAUGUAAGCCACCGUGCCCAGUUUUUUGGUUUGCAUUCUCCAUCAGGUGUGGCUACUAAGUCUCUGUUUGGUUAGCUUAUUCAACAGAUUUCUUUGAACACUUGGAACAACAAUAAAAAGCCUCCUAGCAUUUGCAGAUGUGUUCUGUGUGUUGGGGCACACCUUUCAACCUUCACUCACGCAGUUUGUAACUAUGCCUUAGCCUUCACUUCCUGCUUGCAGAGCCUGGAGGUCAGGCAGAGGUAAGAGCAUAGGGCCCUCUCAGGUCUUUUUAAGCCUAUGCCCAGCCCUCCAGGCAUGCGUAUGGCCUUCUAGAUUCCCAGGAAUAUACAGAAGCUCUUUGAAGUCCUUAUUCUCCCCCAAAUAAUCUUAUUUCCUAGCCUUUCCUCCUGAAGCUUUUCAGUUUGUCUCCUGUUUGCCCUAAAUGUUAUUCCUUCCCCUAGGCAUGAGCCACUAAUAUUUUGACCUUGAAAUGUCUCUCCAGGCUGCCAUCUUCACUUUGGAGAGUUCCAAAUUAGGCAAAAUAAAAGCAAGGUAUUUGAACCAGUCCUUCAGGGAGCAACCUGACAAAUCAAAAUAAACAUACCUCUUGAGAAUAAGGUCUAAUCUGCUACCUUCAGUGACAGGAACCUAUACAGGGAAUAAAGGAUAUUGUUUUUGAUGCUGCUGCCAUGCUAGGGAGGGGGGGAUGGGGCCAGGGAAAGCUAAAACACAACAAAGCUCUCUUACUAAAUUCAGCUUUUACACUUAAAAGUGUAAAAGUUGAUUGCUGUCAACUUUCAAUUAGUUUCCAGAGUUCCCAUAAGUUUGUUUCUGAAUUCUUGCCACCUUAUUAGCUGCUUUUGUGGAAGGACAGACUUGUGGAAUUUCUUACUCCAUUUUUGUUAGCCACAUUAAAGUUUUAGAAGCUCUCUUUUAGUCUACCCCUCAUUUCGUAAAGACCCAAAGAGGGAAAGUGACUUAUCCAGGGUCACACAACAAAUCAGUGGCUGAGCUGAAAUUAGAAUAAGGAUGCUUGACUCAGGCCACAGCUCUUUCUGCUUCAGGACUUCAACCACUCUUAGUGUUGAAAAGGAGUCAGGCUCAGGCUAAACACCAAUAUUAGGCCAAGGGGACAGCUUUCCAAAGAGUAGGGGCUAAGGGUAAGAGUCGUUGGUAUACCUGGUGGGCUUGACUGACUCUUUUACUAAGAGGGGACCCUAUAUGAGGCCAGGUUGGAGACUGAGUAAUGAUGUCCCUGGCUUUUAGAAAAACACAGGCAGAGAGUUUUCAGACUUGAUAGGGGUAAAGACGUAAACAUUUAUCUGUCCGAGGACAUGUAUUUAUUUUGAUCUGUUUCUAGGUCUCAUUCCACUCCAUUAUCAGCCAGGGCAGUAAAGAGCCUACAGCAGAAAUAAGGGGCCAGGUCCUAAGCAAGGACUGUAAUUCCCUGCCAAGGCCAACAGAAGAAGGGCAUUAAACCACCACUUUGUCUGUGGGCACUGCAGAGAUUCAUCUUUCGGCAACCUCUUCCCAAAGCCAGGAGUGCCUCAUCUCAUCUCUCAUCACCUGACUGAAUUCUAAGCAGAGAAACACCUCUCCUUUUGGGGAGUUCUCUGUGUCAGCACAGCAGUAUUUAGACCAGCAUUAGAUUACAGCAGGUUACAGAUGCAGUUUCCCAACCCCCACACCCCCUUAGAAUGUGUGAGGGUCUGACCCCAGGACCUGCUCUUUAGCAAGCUCCCCUGAUGAUCCUGAUGCACACUCAGGCUUGAAAACCACCACUUCAGGACCAUCUCCCCAACCACGGAGUGAGCACUCCAAGGUUCCCUUCUUAAAUUUUGCACCUGAGACAAAUGCCACCAGGACUAGGGUAAAGCGAGUGGGGCCAUUUGUCUCAGGUGCAAAGCUUAACUAAUAGUGUUUCUUCCUGCAAAUUCUCCCAGGGCUGAAUUCAUCUGGUGCUUCGUCCUCUACUUGCUAUUUUAGAAGUCAGAUUAGAUAUGUAGCAUGGACUGGCCUUGACUAACAUAUUCAGGAGGCAGGAAAAGACCCAUUGUGUUCUGUCCCAGAAAGAUGGCCUGUAAGGUUGCAUGUCUAUCUCUUUUGUCCUAAGCAUAACAAACAGUGUUGAUCCCAACGCCCCACUGACCUUGGAAGGCAGUAGAUGCCUUUGCCUCUGGGAAGAUCAUAAGGCAUUCAUGCAGUCCUCCAGCCCAUACUUAACAUGGGUUGGGUCCCUUGGGAGUGACCAUGAGGGCAACCAGAGGUACAGGAAAACAAGGAGAACCAGGACUGGGACAAACAAAGGUGUUAGGUCCAUGACUAGGCCAAUUGUCAUGCCCAGGGUCAGGUUCCAGCCCAUCCUGAGGUUCGAGGGGAGUGGGUGGAUGGGUGCUAGCUGAAGGAACAUUUGGCAGGCUGUAGGCAGGUAAAAUGUAGCUUUAUUCAGCAGCUGUCUCAUCAGCAGCUCUCUCACACUGUCUGCCUUUAUCUCGGCUGUCUGCUCCAGCUCUGCAGCUCCUGCCGCCCCCAUGCUUGCAUGCUUGCAGCUGCACUCCCUGGCCUGCAAGGCCAGCUACAGGGUCAGCAGCUUAACUCUUUCCCUCUGGGCACAAGCCGAGCUGUGUCCUGGCUCCUCUCUGUCCGUCUGCCAGAUGGUCACUCUCCCUUACAGGGGUUGGUAGCUUCACUCUCUCUCUCUGGGUGCCAGUGCACACCAUGUGAAGCCAUGCCAAUCCGGGCCCAAGAACAUCUGUAUAGCGUCAGCAGGGCAGUUAUACCUUUUCCAAACGAUAGUGGCUUCGAGCCAAAUAAUGAACUUAUACAAACAGGUUAUAUAACAAGUAGAGUAUGCACCUGCGACCUAAACUCACCGAGUCACUCUGGCCUGGAUGUCCGCCUCGGUCUAUUUCUUGUCCAAAGCACAUCCAUGUACCUGACAAUAGGUGGUCCCCAAGUGUGUAGACCAGGGUCUCACACCCAAGGGCCUGCAGGGGCCAGAGUGGUAACACUGGCUUGCUGUAAUACAAGAGGAAAUGGUGGAGCCUAUGGCAAAUAAGGAGUACAGGCCCAAAGGGGCAGCUGCAACUCAGCUCCAGCCAUGCAGGAAUGUAAUCCCCAUGGUGCCAGAAUUUGAGUUUUCAAGAGAAGCCAGAAUUCCAGAUUUUUAAAAAUAUAAAUCUCUCAAUGAUUAAAUGUUGGCAACAUAUUCAAAUGUCUAAAAACACUCUUUGGGAACCAAAGUAAAUGUAUCUGUAGGUGCGAUAUUGCCUGCUAGACACGAGGGUGGGAACUUCAGUGUAAACAGGGCAAGGCAAUGUCACAGAACAUAGUCACAUCAGAGCACAUUGGUUCUAGGCCCUGUCACAGCUCAGGAGGCCAUGAGCGCCACCUUGAGUUCAUGGCAAGUUGUGUAAUGCCAAGCAGCCCAUCCCAUCAGGCAGGUCCCACCUGGCACCCAAGGGCAAGGGGCCUGCCCUAGCAGAGGAGUUGCUGGGAGACCAGCAGGGAUGGGGUUACAGGUUGGGCUUGAGGCAUGGACUCUGAUGCAGAGCCAUGUUGACCAGGACCUGGUAUCAAACUCAGUGCCCACACCAGCCUUUGACUUGGGAGGGCAGGUCUAGGUAGACCAGGCUAGUUCUCAGCUCAUGGCUGCCCCCUACCCUUUGGGUGUCAUUCUUCCUGUAUGUUUAGGGGGCAGUCCUCAAGCAAAUGUCUGCAGAUGAGCCACUCUGUGGGGUUCCUAGGACUUAGCAGGCUUGAUCUAGCCUAGUCUCUCUGGAUUCUUCCAUUUCUUUUUUUCUCAUUUGAGACAGGGUCUCGUUCUGUUGUCCAGGCUGGAGUGCAGUGGUAUAAUCAUAGGUCACUACUGCCUCGAUUUCUUGGGCUCUAGCAAUCUUCCUGCCUCAGCCUUCAGUAGCUGACUACAGGGAAUGCACCUCCAUGCCCAAGAGAGGAGGAAGUUAGGAGACACACAGAGACCCCAGGGAUGUGCGUGUGCAGAGGAAAGACCAUGUGAGUGCGGUGAGAGCCACGAAGAGGCAGCAGGAGAAACUGGUGCCCCGCUCUUGGACAUCCAGCCUUCAGAACUGUAAGAAAAUGAAUGUCUGUUGCUUAAGCCACCCAGUCUGUGGUAUUUUGUCAUGGCAGCGUGAGCAGGCUAACAGAGGACUCACAUGAGGUGGCCUCUGCCCUAAGACCCCCGGCCUCCCACUCUGCUCCCGCACCCUGCAUGGCCCCAGGCCUGCCCAGCUCUCAAGGAAGCCAGAGUCUUCGUCACAAGUCAUGUGUGCUGCCUGAUGUCCCUCCCUGUGGUCCCCUUCUCAGGACUGCCAAUCUGUGUAACCAAAUCACACCUUAAUUCCCCUCCAGGGCUCACUCCCAUGCACUCAACGCAGUGUCCCCUCUUCUCAAAUCCCCCACACCUCCAGUCUCUGCCAUGCCUUGGCCUUAUUCAUGCAUCUGUGUCUUCCUCAACCUGCCUGUGAGCUGAGGCCCAGCCUGCCCCAGACAGCCUGGCUCUUUGCUGCCCACCCCUGCCAGUCCAGCUCAACCUAGGACAUGCUAAGCACCCACGGGAGUGGACAGCUGGCUCCUAAAGAGGCAGGCAGCAUGAUGGAGACCUGGGUCCUGAGUCCAGCUGUGACCCGGGACACAAAACUCUCCUUCCCCAGCCUGAGUCUCAGCUUCCAUUUGCAUAUUAAAGUCGUGAUUUCUGCUCUAACUGUAUCUUUCUCAAUUAAUAUAUCUUCAAAUCAGCUCUGCAGUUCCAGAGCCACAGAAACCUUUGACUACCCACAGCUCCCUUACCUUCCACAUCCAGCCCAGACCUCUGCUGACCUCCACACACAGCAACCCAGAAGCCUCCCUGCAGCUCCACCCUACAGCUCCACACAGUCCCCCUUCACUUUCUCAGUCGUGCUGGGAGCCCCGGGCAGGCCUCUGCACCUGCAUCUCCUUUAGGUUUUUAAAUCAAAUGUCAUGACCUCAGUGAGGACUAGGCAAGCACCUCCCGGUGGAUCCUACCAUCACUCCCUGCUGGUUUCCAGCUUUAUUUUCCUCUACAGAAUUUAUCAUCUGAUACAGAUUUUAUUUCAUUGUUUACUAUCUGUCUCCCCAAAUGAGAAGGUGCAGCCCAUGGAACAGAGACUCUGCAGUGCCCUGCCCCUCAUUGUGUCUCCACACCUGCUCCACUGCGUGACCUGACGGACUGGCCCAUGGGGGAGCAUGAUUUACAUUUGUUGAAUGAAUGAGUAAACGAAUGGCACCCAGUAUUACUGCCAUGACUGUUUCUCAUGCCAGGCUUUGAAAACACUGGAUCGGUGCUCCCAAAGGACUCUCCCAGCUCUAACAUUCCACAUUCCUGCGUACGUACGAAGACACCAGGUUUCCACGCCAAGUGGAACCUCCAGAACUGGAUGCUUACCAGAACUCAGGAAAUCCUCUGUCUUUUAAAUCCCCACCAGGGGGCUCUUCUGAGGAGGCAAAAGCCCUACGCAGGGAGGAACCACCAAGUGUUCCCACAGCUUUGUCUCCUCACAAUCCCCUGACUGCCCUCACCUAAGUGGCCCCACAGGGACCCGGCCUGCCUUACCUGCCACCAGGUGGGCCCGGCUCCGGGAGCACAGAACUGCAUUGAACUUGGACUCAUCUGUUCCCAGGCGGUUCUCCCCAGCCGCAUACAGCUCCUGGAGAGAGAAGAAGAUUCACAGGCGGCACAGGCCACACCCAGACCCCAGGUCCAGGUCACCCAGGAGAGCCUGGUAAACUUCUGAAGGUUUGAGCCUAAAGUAUUUGCCAAUCUGCAACCUCUGAACUAGACAGCCUCUAAAGUGCCUGCUAGGCCUCAGGUAGCAGCCCUGAAAAAGAGCAGAAAGCAGCAAUCAGGGGCUGAGAUCCCACAGGUCAAGAUGAGGCCAUAGCAGGUCUGGACUGAGAAAGCAGAGCCCGAGACAAUUUUCACCCCACUAGAAAUGGCAUGCAAAACUCUCGCUGGAGCAAGAGCCAGAGCCCCAGGGGUGUCUAGCCCUGAGUCCCAGAAAGAGAAUGGAUGUCACCAGCCAGAGAGACACUGAAUACGGUAGACCCUGCAAAAGCAGCAGGUCUGAGACCAGGGCAGAAGCAGGUGCUAACUGGGCACAGAGGACUGAGCCAGGGAUGCCUGAGCUCUGCCUCUAGCUUUCAGUUGGGAACAGUGCUCAACCUUUUUGAGCCUCAGUUUCCUCAUCUGGAAAGCAAAUGGACCAGACUAGAGGAGUAGCUCUCCACCAGCCCUAACAAGGUAGCAUUCCUUGAGGUCUCGUUCCAAUCCAGCAGAUGGUAGAGAUAAUCAGACUGCUGGCAGCUCCUGGUGAGUGUCCUGCCAUGGUGGUAAGAACAGUGAAGGGGGCCAGGUAUGGUCAACUCCACUGUGCCAGGAAGUCACGGCUCUGCCCUGCCAUGAUACUACGAUCCAAAUUCAUUACUGGGAAACCCAAACUUUUCUAGAGAGUAGCUCAAAUGCCUGGAUGUUUCCCUUUUGUCUGCAACUCACAAGGGGGACAAGGACAGAAUUCUAAGGCUGCUCAACUAAUGUGGCAGCUGGUUUCUAGGCUCAAACCCUCAAAAACUUAACAGGCAAGUGCAAAUUCUGCCCCUUUGCAAACGUAAUGGUAUGCGCAACUAAACAUGGGGAAAGUAUGCAGUCACGUGAAAUCCCACAUCCAAAACUGUCAUCCAUCAACUACUGAAACUUACUCUCCCACGUGUUCCCCACUACAGGCGGAGAAACUGAAGCCCAGGAGGUCAGACGAUCUGCUCAAGAUCACACAGGUGAGCAGUAGCCCAGCCCGUCUGAAACUUGCAGCGUAUCUACUGUUCUUUCCACCCUAAACCACCUCUCUCAGGAAGCAAGAAAGCAGGGUACAGCCCUGCUUUAGGAAGCCCAGGAGCUUGGCCACUACACUCACCUGGGCAUCUCUCUGGACCAGGGUCAUGUCCACAUUUGUGCUUUCAUCACGGUUUCCCUGAAAGGAAGCAGGGGUAUGGUCAAGCCUACUCCUUCCCCAUUUCUUUUCUCUCCCCUCAUGCUGGAAUCCCACCUCUUUGACCUCCACAGCUUGGGGGCCCUGUCAUGGGAAAAGUACCUGAGAGAGAGAGAUGAGGAGCCGCUGGAAGUGCCCUGACGUGUCACUUCGAAUGGCCUCUUCCAGUGUCUUUUUGAAUUCUGAAAGGGAGAAGCAAGGAAGGUCCACUCUGUAGCUCUGUUUAUGGAGCUGCCCAUUGUAAACACUAUCAAUAGUGGGCACUUGGGAGAAAAAGGCUGAGGUCUUGGGCUUGAGGGAACAAAUAGCCCGUAUGGCCCUCCAGGGACAUACAAGCCUGUGACCUCCAGGCUGAUCUGGCCUCUAGGGAGCCUGGGCCCAAACCACAUCCAGGUUUUCCCCGGCCCUCCCUUACUUUAGUCAUCUGUGCCAUGUACAAACAGCGGGAAGGGCUGGGUCUUGGCUCAAAGCCCAAUGUGUAGGGGGUGGCAGGAGAUGGGGUGAUAAGACAACCAGGAAGGAGUAAGAGGCCCUGGGAGAGGGUGAGGCCACAGCCCCGAGGGCACAGGGAUCUGCAGAGGGCAGAGGGCAGAGGGAGCAGCCUCACCUGCUUUGUAGGCUCUGUUUAAUUCCCGGAUGUGCUCGUUGCUGCGGGAAGCGAGGAUCUCAAUCAGGCAGGCUUCAUCAGUGCCAACCCCCUGCAGGGGCAGAGAACACAACCAACCGUGCGCUUGUUCCAGCAGCCUCACCAGCACCCGGGAAGGAGAGUGGGGGCCACACUGCUGCCCUGACCCCAGGGACAAACCCCAGCAACAGAGGCCCCUGACACAGAGACACACCCUCCAGCCACUCCCAGGCUUGAGGGAAUCAGCUCCUCUCCACAGCCCAGGCAAGCACAGUGACAGUUGGUGGUGAUAAGCAGGGCUCACACAAAGGGGCAUCCACGUGGAUCAGAAAACUGAGUAUUAGAGAGGGGUACUGCCUGGUCCAAGGCCACACAGUAAAUGGGUAGGUUACAAUGUGGACCGAGGCCUGCUUUAUUCAGGGUGCAGCUGGAAGUCAGAUGACAACUGAAAAAAAUGGGUAAAAAGUAAGAGAGAUCCAAGUACACACAUGGAAAAUCCAUGUGGCGGAAUGUCUGGAAACAACUAGGAAAAAGCAGGGACAACGAGGAUGAAUGGGACAACCAUGCCAGGGACAGUGAGAAGGCAGAGGACAGGCUGAGCAGCCCGGCUUGUAUGUUAGUUUGAAUCCUGGCCCUGCGGCUUACUAACUGUGUGACCUCAGCCAUGUUACUUAACCUCUCUGUGCUUUCAAUUCCUUGUCUGUAAGAUGGGAGUGAUACUGGGACCUACCUCACAGGGAAGUCAUGAGGAUGAAGUGAGUUACUGUAUAUAGAGCACUUAGGGCCUGUCAGGCAGGACGUGCGGCAUUUUGGCAGCCAUUUCCCGCUGUAGCUACUGUUGGGUUACUACAUGUUAGUACAUGUUAGCCCCUCACCCAGUCGUCCCAGCAUGUCCUGAGACAGCAUCCACUGUCCCCAUUUCACAAGUGCUCAAGGACACACAGCUAGUGAGUGACAGCUGCCCAAACCUGUGGUUUCUAACACUCCACAAUCACUAGCUCAUGACUCUGGCUGAAGACGGGGGCCAGGCAGAUGCCUGGGAGCCACUCCCUGGGGCCCCAGGCCAUCCCUCUGCCCAGUCACCCCCUGACCCCCUCCCUAGAAUAACACGUGUAGACGUGUUUCAGUGGAAACCUCUCUCCUUUCCAGGCCACCACACGUAAGUCUCUGCUUCUCCUGGGGAGGGAACGGUCACUGUGCUUAUCAGGCCUCUGAGUGACAGGCUCCUCCUGGGUUCCUGCCUGACUCAUGGGAUUACCUUUCCAAGGGAGCCAUCAGGCCCCACCCAUAGGGUGCACACAGAGCUGUGGGACUGCACAGAAUGGACAGGACCCACCCCCUCGGCCAAAACGCACAGGCCUUAAGGAAACAGUGAGCCCAAGCCAUGCCCAUCUGAACCAGCCCCUGUUCUUGAGCUGGAUCUCAUAGGUAUGUGGAGAGUGGUUGACAAGCACCCUCUAGAAGCAGCCAUGGCAGGAGAAGCACAGAAUCGGACAGAAGAGCGGAUGCUCAGGGGAAGCAGAGACCAGAGAGACAUCUGGCCUGGCCCUCUCCACGCCAGGCAGCUUGGCUUUACCCACGUAACUGAUUUCCCGCCUUCGUUCUGCUUAAACCGAAGCGUGUUUCUGUCAUUUACUAGUAGCAGAGUCCUAAAGACGAGAACGAUACCAGCCAUGGCCUCCUAACCCUCUUCUUAUCAGAGCCACUAACUUCAAACCCCAGCUCCACCAUUUAUUUAAGAUGGAGAGAGACCUAAGGCUCCCUGAUGAUGACGGGUGCAUCAUUUGCCUCUUGGGGAAAUCAAAGGGAGUUCCCCCUUUCUACAGUAUGCAGACUCCAACCCAGGAAGGCCUGGUAGUCAUACUGACAACAGCAGCUAAUGAGUGGGCUAGAACACAGCACACUGUCCAGGCCUCCUUCUGGGCUGUGUCCAAACACAUGAACACACACACACACACACACACACACACACACACACACACACACGUACACACCUUGAUGGCUUCCUUUAUCUCAUAAACGUCAAAGAGGACUGGGGUCUUCAUCAGAGCCAAGAUUGUCUUCUCAAAGUUUCCUGACAGUUCAGAUUUCAGAUCUUUGAUCAAAUCCUGAUUGGAUAUUCAAAUUAAAAAAAUAACCAAAAACAAGUCUAUUUUUAAAAUCCACAGGAGGU